rnacentral:misc_RNA from 1 species
ACCAGAAAUUCAGCAUAUCGAUAAGAAAGAAUAUUUCUGGUCCAAAAAUUGGACAAUUUUCCAUCAAGUUGAAUAUUGUCUAACAGUUUAAGUUGUCUUCUUCUCUGAACAGUCGACAAAUUAGACAGCACUAAUUCAUAAUAAUUUUUAAUAUGCUAUCUGAAAAACCAAAAAGAAAAAAAAGAAAAUCCAACCAUGUCAUUCAAAUUUCUG